UAUUUUAUUGGACUCUGAGCCUCAGACAGUUUAUCAGACACACAGUAAAACGACGAUUGAGUUUGUGAGGAAAUGAUGCAGCAGAAAGCGAAAGUGCUGCGCAGUAAAUGACGGAGGGAUGAUGAGUGAUGAAGGAGUGAGGAAGCAGUAGAAGGUGUGGUUCCUGCUGCUUCUAAACGCUGUGUGCUCUGAUGCUGCUGCUGAAUCCUCGGAGGACUCGGACCAACAUGAAGCUCCUUCAGCUCGUCUGGAUCUUCCUGCUCACUCUGUGCGGACAAAGCGGUGUCACAGCGAUAACGGUGAAGGAAAACGAUGACGUCAUUCUGGACUGUUCCUUCGGCUCUACAAACAUUGAGAAAAAGGCCUUUGCCUGGAAGAAAGAUGUGGAUCAAAGCAAUGAGGAGGUUUUCUGGUAUUCUGGUGGAGACACAGAUCCAGGUCCAGAGUUUAAAGGUCGGGUCUCUCAUUUUCCAGACCAACUCAGGUUCGGUAACGCCUCCAUAAAGAUCACAAAAGCAAAGACGUCAGACAGUGGAACCUACACGUGUUAUCAUGCAUCUGUUCAGAAGGAAAUUAAAUCGACCAUCAGUCUGACUGUUGGUGAGUUCUUCCAUGAGACGCUGAUAAAACUGUGACUUUGGCUCAUUUUUGUAAUUCUUGAUUGUAGAAAAUAUGUUUAAUAAAAACAUCUGAGUUUCUUUCCUCCAGUUUUACCUGUCUGACAAGUUGAUAAUGUCUCACAAACAGCUCUAACAUGUGUUUUCUUUUCUCCUUUAGAUCCUAUCUUAACCUCUUAGGGCUUAUCACAGUUAGACACAUCUCUGCACCUUUGUACUGACAGAUUUGACCUUGUUCAUAAUUUCAGGACCAUAAAAACAUGAUAUUUGUUCGUUGCAACACUGUGAUGUAAAUUUUGUGAGGUUUCCUUUAGUUUGUGAGUCUUACCUGUAGCCCUAACACAGAUAGCUAGUUGGAGGGAUUAAUGGAGAAAUAUUGAAGCGUUGUUGCUUUUCACCUUCUAAUUUGUAUUUUAAAUGCAGUAAAUCAAUCAUAAUGAGGGCUAUCAGGCUAAAAUUUACAGGAUUUCAUCGACAUUUUGUCUACAACAUCUCUGCCUAUUUUCAUGUUAAUGGAGAGAAGUAGCUCUGAGAUAAUUCAGAAAGUGCAGUGCAAAGCAUCUCCAUUAGAUCACUACAGAGCUCCUGAAAAAGCUCUGCAAAGUUACCACAUAAUGUUGAUAAAUCCUAUUUAUUAAACUUAAAAAUGUCACGAAACGUUAAACUUAGUUGUAUAAACAGGAUCUUUAAAAUUCACAUAAAGAUUGACACCUUCACUAUCAUUAAAUCUGCUGUUUUUUGAUGGAUAAAAGCAGUUUUCCUGCUAUAUUUGUGUCCCACAAUGACACACAGUCAAACUGCAUUAACUUCCAUAUAUGGUCCGGCAGGUAAUUUUACCGGCUACAAACUCAGAGUGUUUCAGUGAUCUGACUUCCUAUUGGAUGACAGCAGCUGUCAAUAACACACACGUGCGGCCCACGUCAAGAUCCUCUUCUCUGAUUGGCUGAUUGAGUUAAAUGUCUGCUAUAUUGCGCAGGUUACAUCGGAGAAAGAUGCUGAUUGGUCCGUUUAGUUCGGAGGCGUUUCCCAAUUUCAGCGAUAUGGAACAUGAUUGGUCAAAGCUUUUGUCUAAACUUCUAAAUUGGUUGAAACGUCGCAGUUGAUAAAGUUUGCGUCACUUCGAUAAAGUUAAACCAAGGGAAAUAAUUCACUUUUUUCGGGAUAUUUUUAGUUUCGCUCGAAAUUGAACGAGCUGAAUUUAAUCGGUGGAGUUUUUUCCUUUAAAACGAGCCGCCAUUUGUUUAUAAAAGUCACUUUUGGACCAAUAAAAGUGUUUUACCGGUGAUGCGACAGGUUAGCAGGUGCAGCUCCAAGGCCCAUUGUAACUGUUGAUAAAACAAAGGAUGAGGUGCUGCUAACGUGAAGUUAGAGGAGCCUUUCCAAAACCUGAAGUUGAGUGGUGGGACAGCGAUGGAAACGUCCUGGCUGUUGGUGACCCACAGAUCACUGAUGGAAAAGGAAACAAAUAUGACACCGUCCUCAAUGUUACUGUGAACAAGGCCGGAUUCUAUCGCUGUGUGGCCACACAGAAGGAAAUCUACCAUCAGAUUUAUACUAAGACCUAUGCUCCUGGUCCUGGUGCAGUUCCAAAGCCAUAUGUCACUAUACUUGGAGAAACAAAAAAUGGGAUGCUGCUUCAGUGUGAAGUUUUUGGUGCUUCCCCAAAACUUAAAGUGUCCUGGAGGAACAGUGCUGGAGACGAUGUUCCUGCUAAAAAACCACAGAAGACACAAAAAGGAGGCAGCUACGACAUUAUUCUCCAAGCUACUGUGACAAAGACGGACUACUAUCACUGUGUGACCACAGAGGGGAAGAAGGACGAUGAGCUUCAUUCUGAGAUCUUUGUGCUGAGCCCUUUUGAAAAGCCCAGAAGCUCCGUGAGUCGACUUGUUCCUGCAGCUGUUGUUGGAGUUCUUGGACUUGUUGCUACAGUUGUCCUCUGAGUUUCUCUACAUUUGAUUCAUCGCUGCAGUAAGUCUGCUGGAGGUUCAACACCUAAAGGAAAACUCUGGCUCCACCUGCUGUUCUCUCAACGUCCUGAUUUCAUAUAUUUACUGGGUGUCUUGAGGUUGAUUUUAAUGUUUUUUAAAAAAUCUCUACAUUAUUGAGCUUCUAUUCAGGGUCCAGACUGAGUGUCAGUUUAAAUUUAACGUGGUGCAUUAAUGGUUUGGUCUGUUUUGGGUUCUGUAGCUGCAGUUUUAACCAGAGAGGAAAAACAAUCAGAGCCUGUUAAAGACAAAAACAAACACUUUGACUUUUAACUGUUUUCUAUGCAGUUUUCUGUUAAAGCGUUCUCAAUCAAUACUGGAGAGAUUCCAUUCAUUUUUGUCUCUAUUAAUCAUUUACACCAAGAUUUAUGGCAAAAACACGACCCUGGUUUAACAAUAUUGGAAUCAUCCUUCAAGGAUGUCAGAGAUUUCUUGGAUAAAUUAAAAUUACAUCAGAAUUAGAACCGGCCUCAGAGCUCUGAGAGGAAAAUUAGUGUUUCAUGAAUAUAAUUGACAAUAAAACACUGAAAAACUUCGAUAAAUAAUAAAAUGUUAAUGCAGCAAGAUGGUUUUCUGUUUAGAAAACGUUCUUAGAAGGUUCUGUUGAUGUUUUCAGCAUUAAGUUGUUUAUUGGAUUUUAGUUCUUUGAAUGUUCUUAAACACUGGACAAUGUUCUCUGAAGAUGUUCUGUAAAUGUUUGGUUCUAACGUUGUUUUCUUUGAGAUUUUCCGUCUUUUGUUGUCGUAUAAUUUGUGGAACAUUGUGGGAAUGUUUCUGGUUUGUUCCCUCAAAAACAUUCUCAGAACUUUGCAGGUAAAAUUUUCCACUUUAGUUCAUAUUUUACAUUCUAGGAACGUUUUCUAAAAAUCACUGGAGGCCAUGAGAACAUCUUGAGAACGUUUUUAAUGUUGAUUUGUUCUUCCUUUGCUGUAACAUCAUCUGUUUAUCUGACAACGUUCUCCAAACAUCCUCUGAAUGUUGCAGCUGGAACAUUAUCUGAGAUCUUCAGGUCAAAACGUUUUGUGACAGGAGCAUUAAAAACACAUUGACUGACCUGAAACCUGCUGUUUGUUGCUGAAAAUGUGAAUAUUUUCCAGCUAAAGUGAAAAAUAAUGUGACUUUUUCUCUCUGUUUUGCUGCAUUGUUUGGGAGCAGCUUGUUGCUGGUUUUUCUUUCUUCAGGUUCUCAUCCAGAGUCUGUCAGGAUCAGUUACUGAACUCCAUUUUCUGUUUCUGACUGGUACUGAAGCUGAAAGGACAUUUAUGCUGUUCACAGAUAAAACAUGUUAUUUCAGACACUGCUUGAUAAGUUCUCUCAAAACUUUGAAUAAAACAUGAAAACAUCAAACUG